rnacentral:rRNA from 1 species
UACGUAGGGUGCGAGCGUUAAUCGGAAUUACUGGGCGUAAAGCGUGCGCAGGCGGUUUUGUAAGACCGGUGUGAAAUCCCCGGGCUUAACCUGGGAACUGCGCUUGUGACUGCAAGACUCGAGUGUGGCAGAGGGGGGUGGAAUUCCACGUGUAGCAGUGAAAUGCGUAGAGAUGUGGAGGAACACCGAUGGCGAAGGCAGCCCCCUGGGUCAACACUGACGCUCAUGCACGAAAGCGUGGGGAGCAAACAGG